AUGAUCACAGAAUCCUUUUUUUUUUUUUUUUUUAGAUUGUAUUCAUUUAUUCAUGAGAGACAGAGAGAGAGGGAGAGAGGCAGAGACCCAGGCAGAGGGAGAAGCAGGCUCCAUGCAGGGAGCCCGACGUGGGACUCCCCGAUCCUGGGACCCCGGGGUCACGCCCUAAGCCGGAGGCAGAUGCUAAAGCACGAGCCACCCAGGGGCCCCAAGGAGUCUGGUUUCUGUGGAAGGGCCGCAAAAAGUCUGCUGACAGGGGCAUUCAAUUUUGUUUUCAGAUGUAAUUUUACUCAUUUAAAUAUCUUCGCUUCACAGGUGAAGAGGCCCAGGACGGGGAAGGGACUUGCACAGAUGUUGACGAUCCGCUUCAGCGCGACGAGGGCGAAGGCGAAGGCAGGCAAGAGCACUGGGGGCUGAGAAGCGAGCGGAGGAGACAGGAAAUAGCUGGCGACAGGCUCCCUCUGAGGCUCAGGGCAUGUCCCAGCCACAACCGCCUCCUCCUCCUGAAAGAGCUAAGUCGGAGGCGACCUGUGUUCAGAAGCUGCUUCUCCUCUCUGUGCUUCUCGCUUGGGGAUUCCUCCAUCUCCAGAACAUAGCGGCCUCCCUGUCCCUGUCACCAAUGUUGACUUAGACCAUUUCUGGAAGGUUCCUCCCCAAGGGUUCCUGCCUUGAGAUGUUUAUUCGACUGUCUAUGAUAAAGCCUAGCAUAUCCCUCCAACGGGGAACAUGAAGCCCGUCCUUAAUCCCGUCAAUAGACACCAAACACAUGAAUCACAACAAACAACAGAAAAAUCCAGAAGAUAUCCAGAAAAAUCCAGGCAGAUACAUUUCCUGUAUUAACUGUGCAAUUUUAAAACAGUGUCCUCAAAAAUAGAGAAAAGAGUGUCUUCCUGCUUUUUCAAACUCGCAAUCUACGUAACGAAGGAUGCGACGAUUGAGGAACACGAAAGGCUCUAAAUAUCGCGGAGUUUCUUUAAAAGUGUUUUCCUCGAGUCUUUAGAAGGGUAAGCGUGGGGAUGUGUAGGGUUAGCUGUGGAGCUGGAAAUCCCGCCCGAAACCUCAAGGCACGGGGACACCCGGCGUGGAGUCCCACCCACCAGAGGCGUCGGGGAUGCUGGCACCUGACAGACGCAGGUUCUGCGCUCACCAGCUGUGGCCCUCGGACAACCUUCGGGUUUUCCUAACCUGUAAAUGACUAAUAACACCUUCCUUGCAGCCUUGUGAAGCCUGAAGAAAACACAGGGGCGAGGUGCCCAGCACCGGCAUCUAGAAGCUACUUAAUGUGCCACUGGUAUUUAUCGUUGCCAUUAUUACCAUUAGGAUUCAUAGUUUGUGGGCUUGAGGCGGAGAAAAUAAAAUAAGAAAUAAAACCUGGUUACCUGGAAAU
rnacentral:lncRNA from 12 species